rnacentral:tRNA from 1 species
CUCUGUAGCUCAGUUGGUAGAGCAGCGGACUGAAAAUCCGCGUGUCACUGGUUCGAUUCCAGUCGGAGC